ACUUUCAGUGUCUGUAGCGCAGCCAUAGAUAGCUAUGCACUUUGAUUGUGUUUCAUUAAACCACAAGUUUCCCAGCUACUGGCACUGUUUUGAGAAGAGGGUGAGACUUCGGGUGGAUCCUAGCUGGAAGAGGUGGAUGAUGGAAAUGCGACUUUGAAGGUGUAAGUGAUUCCCAAGCCCAUUCUUUCAUCCUCUCACGCUCCUCCUCUUUCUUGCUCUCAAGUUCUCUCUCUUCCUGUCCACCGUCGGGGGAGGAAUCUACUUCCGCUACACUUAUGCUGCCAUAAUGAGCACAGGGCUAAGCAACCGUGCAUCCUCUGAAAGCGCCAGUCAAAAUCAGUCCUUCCUCCUUUAGAUCGUUCUCGCAGAUACCUCGGUCAUAACUAUGCAAAAGUAACAAGACUGCCCUCACAGAGACUGGAUAAUCACCAUAUAUUUUCCAAGUAAAUGUGUAAUAAACUAAAGUCAGGGCUGAGAGGCUGGAGAAAUGGCUCCGCCUUUAGGAACACUGGCUGUUUUCCAGAGCAUCUGGAUUUGCGUCCCAGGACCAAUGUGGUGGCUCACAACCAUCUCUAAUUCCAGAGGAUCUGAUGCCCUCUUGUGGCCUUCACAGGUACUUCAUGGAUGGAUGCGGUGCACAGAUCAACAUCAGCCAAAACAGUCAUACUC
rnacentral:lncRNA from 1 species